rnacentral:lncRNA from 1 species
AUCCAGGGGUUUUUGCCAUACACACAGCACAGAUUUUUUUGAUUAUGUAGAUUUUUUUCUACUGCAGUUUCAUAUGCAAAGCAUGCAUCAGCCACAUCCAUGCUAUCUCCUAAAGCAGUCAUUCUGAAACCCAAUCUGGGGACAGUGCAGACUAAAUAAAAUUUCAUUUUGAUUUGGCCUCCCGCUGAGAAUGGGACUGCUUUGUUUCAGCCGACAGAACCAGCAAGCCAGAAAGGUGUUGAAUACACAAAUACUGACUUAACGGAAAAUUAUGGUCAUCGUGGUAAAGGAAAUAUUUUUAUCUGGGCCUCAGGAAAUGGUGGUCUGGCUAAUGAUCACUGCAGUACUGAUAGUUAUGCGAACAAUAUUUACACAGUGGCGAUUGGUGCCAUCACUAACCUCAGCCUCACAGCUCCUUCACCUACAAGCUCUGCUCAGCAAUGAUGGCUGUGGUCCCUACAGAAAUAUCCAGUGAGGUACCAGUGUGGAGAAUGGGGUCCCAAAACAGGUCUUCAAUUUAGUGCAAGGAAGACGUAAUCCUCCUGGAUCUAGGCGGCCAAACAAGGAGUGACAGAGGGAGAGAGGUUCUGGAAGAAGGACUGCAUGUGAAAGUGCAACCUGGCAGCAACUCAGACACUAAUGGAUCUUUAGGCACAGCAAGCAUCUGACCAAAGAGAACUGAGUCCGACAGCCUGCUCUGAGGUCCAUGACAGAGAUCAACUCACUAGCUAAGAUCUCAGGUCUAAUGGACCAAAGAGACACAGAGGCAAAUUAGGAAUAAAUGGAUCCCUAAAUUAUUAGCA